UGCUUUCCUGCUUGCCCCUCACUCUCGUGAUUUUUAUCCACAUUGCAGCCAGGUACCUGUUUAUGAAGUUCACAGUGCCACAUUCUUAGCUGCACCUUUCUCUCCCAGAAAUUGGCUUGCGUUUUCUUAUUCUCCUCAAGGAAAAUGAAAUCGCUCCCACGUGUUUGAUUUGCUCCAUGUAACCAUCUCGGUGAUUGAUGCAGAUACCCACAUGAUCACCAGCACCUGGAAUAAGUAUUGAUCUUCAGGAUGUCUGAAAGGAACAGAUGAGUAAUCACAACUUUCCUGAUGCUUUGGACUUUUAAAAAAUAUCUUUGACAAAUUUGAAAGCUUUAAUAUUUUUCUCUGGAUCAACUCAGCCUCUAAAUAUCACAAAAGGACAACUGUGUUUCUCCCUUUUAAAUAGCCUGUAUUUAUGACAGACUAUGAUAGACUAAAUAAAAGUAAUCAGAAAU
rnacentral:lncRNA from 1 species